rnacentral:rRNA from 1 species
UAAAAAGAUAUUAUAUAUAUAAUUUUCCCGAACUUAAAAGAGCUAAUUUAAUAUAAAUGUUAUUGUGGAAUAAAUAUUUAUAAUAUUUAAUUAGUAAUGAAAUGUUAUUCGUUUUUAAAUAUAUCUGGUUUUUUUAGAAAUAAAUUUAAUUUGGCUUAGUUUAUAAAAUUAAUUUAAUUUUUAAUUAGUUUUAUGAUUGGGGUAAUAUAUUAGGGGAUGAGCUUUAGUAUAGAAUGUUAUAAAUGGAUUGGAUCGUUAAAUCGAAUAGGAUUAGAAGUUUCCAUUAUUAGAAGGGUGUUAUAACUUAUUUUGAGGGGUAUUUAAUUUUUAUUUAUUUUGGAUUGUUUAUAAAAAUGUAGUUGUGAUUUUUAAUUGAUUAAUAAUAAUGGUAAAAUUAGUAUAUAGGUUUUUAUGAUUAAUGAAGGGUGUUAGGUUGAUGAAAGGAAUUCGGCAAAUAAUUUCUUACCUGUUUAUUAAAAACAUGGCCUUUUGAUUAUGAUUUAAGGUUUAGCCUGCCCACUGAGGUUUUAAAUGGCCGCGGUACUCU